rnacentral:rRNA from 1 species
GAUGAACGCUGGCGGCGUGCCUAAUACAUGCAAGUCGAGCGAACGGACGAGAAGCUUGCUUCUCUGAUGUUAGCGGCGGACGGGUGAGUAACACGUGGAUAACCUACCUAUAAGACUGGGAUAACUUCGGGAAACCGGAGCUAAUACCGGAUGAUAUUUUGAACCGCAUGGUUCAAAAGUGAAAGACGGUCUUGCUGUCACUUAUAGAUGGAUCCGCGCUGCAUUAGCUAGUUGGUAAGGUAACGGCUUACCAAGGCAACGAUGCAUAGCCGACCUGAGAGGGUGAUCGGCCACACUGGAACUGAGACACGGUCCAGACUCCUACGGGAGGCAGCAGUAGGGAAUCUUCCGCAAUGGGCGAAAGCCUGACGGAGCAACGCCGCGUGAGUGAUGAAGGUCUUCGGAUCGUANAACUCUGUUAUUAGGGAAGAACAUAUGUGUAAGUAACUGUGCACAUCUUGACGGUACCUAAUCAGAAAGCCACGGCUAACUACGUGCCAGCAGCCGCGGUAAUACGUAGGUGGCAAGCGUUAUCCGGAAUUAUUGGGCGUAAAGCGCGCGUAGGCGGUUUUUUAAGUCUGAUGUGAAAGCCCACGGCUCAACCGUGGAGGGUCAUUGGAAACUGGAAAACUUGAGUGCAGAAGAGGAAAGUGGAAUUCCAUGUGUAGCGGUGAAAUGCGCAGAGAUAUGGAGGAACACCAGUGGCGAAGGCGACUUUCUGGUCUGUAACUGACGCUGAUGUGCGAAAGCGUGGGGAUCAAACAGGAUUAGAUACCCUGGUAGUCCACGCCGUAAACGAUGAGUGCUAAGUGUUAGGGGGUUUCCGCCCCUUAGUGCUGCAGCUAACGCAUUAAGCACUCCGCCUGGGGAGUACGACCGCAAGGUUGAAACUCAAAGGAAUUGACGGGGACCCGCACAAGCGGUGGAGCAUGUGGUUUAAUUCGAAGCAACGCGAAGAACCUUACCAAAUCUUGACAUCCUUUGACAACUCUAGAGAUAGAGCCUUCCCCUUCGGGGGACAAAGUGACAGGUGGUGCAUGGUUGUCGUCAGCUCGUGUCGUGAGAUGUUGGGUUAAGUCCCGCAACGAGCGCAACCCUUAAGCUUAGUUGCCAUCAUUAAGUUGGGCACUCUAAGUUGACUGCCGGUGACAAACCGGAGGAAGGUGGGGAUGACGUCAAAUCAUCAUGCCCCUUAUGAUUUGGGCUACACACGUGCUACAAUGGACAAUACAAAGGGCAGCGAAACCGCGAGGUCAAGCAAAUCCCAUAAAGUUGUUCUCAGUUCGGAUUGUAGUCUGCAACUCGACUACAUGAAGCUGGAAUCGCUAGUAAUCGUAGAUCAGCAUGCUACGGUGAAUACGUUCCCGGGUCU